GAUGAACGCUGGCGGCGUGCCUAAUACAUGCAAGUCGAGCGAACGGACGAGAAGCUUGCUUCUCUGAUGUUAGCGGCGGACGGGUGAGUAACACGUGGAUAACCUACCUAUAAGACUGGGAUAACUUCGGGAAACCGGAGCUAAUACCGGAUGAUAUUUUGAACCGCAUGGUUCAAAAGUGAAAGACGGUCUUGCUGUCACUUAUAGAUGGAUCCGCGCUGCAUUAGCUAGUUGGUAAGGUAACGGCUUACCAAGGCAACGAUGCAUAGCCGACCUGAGAGGGUGAUCGGCCACACUGGAACUGAGACACGGUCCAGACUCCUACGGGAGGCAGCAGUAGGGAAUCUUCCGCAAUGGGCGAAAGCCUGACGGAGCAACGCCGCGUGAGUGCUGAAGGUCUUCGGAUCGUAAAACUCUGUUAUUAGGGAAGAACAUAUGUGUAAGUACCUGUGCACAUCUUGACGGUACCUAAUCAGAAAGCCACGGCUAACUACGUG
rnacentral:rRNA from 1 species